rnacentral:rRNA from 1 species
UGAGCAAUCUGCCCUUCUCUUCGGAAUAAGCGUUGGAAACGACGUCUAAUGCCGAAUACGACCUCCUUUCGCAUGAUCGGAGGUGGAAAGCUCCGGCGGAGAAGGAUGAGCUCGCGGCCUAUCAGCUAGUUGGUGAGGUAAUGGCCCACCAAGGCUUCGACGGGUAGCCGGCCUGAGAGGGUGACCGGCCACACUGGGACUGAGACACGGCCCAAACUCCGUACGGGGAGCAGCAGG